GCAUGACAUCGAUGUGAAGUGAAGCCAGUAUAAGAGCUGAAGUAACGCCUUUCGACUUCAAAUGAUAAAGGUAAGUUAACAUAAUUUAACCUCGGCCUACUUUGGUAAUUUGUCAGCAAUUUUGAAAACGAAAAUGUAUGUAAAAGACCAAGACCUCUGGUUGAAGUUAUUUCUGAAAGAGUAAGAAACCUUUUCUUUAAAUUAUAGAUGGAGCAAUUUGACCAAGAAACACUGUCACUUCUGGAAGCUGCAAGUAUUACCAAUGAGCUAUUACCCUCAUUGACACGGGAAGACCUAAGAGACCUUAUGCCAGGGCCGGAGAAUUUUCUGAGGAGAAAACACAUUUGGGAAGCUGUCCAUUCAGAGGAAAGCUCAUCCUCUGAACCAGUCACGGAUAACAACAUACCCAAGACACAAGAAGUAACGCCAGAAAAAGUAAUAAAGAUAUGUAGUCCAGAGUAUGUUGUGUACACAGAUGCAGAGCUUGAGCAUGUGCGCAAAUACUACUUUGAACUUCAUCGCAAUGGGCAAGCACAUGAGUGUGUUAUGUCCAAAGAGCUGCGAUGUCGCUUGGUCAGAAAUACUAUUACUUCAAUGAUUUCAAUUGUACGAGGCUAUGACAUGAAGGAAAGAAGAGAUUGGGGAGAGUAUCCCUCCCGUGAAGAAUUGACUGCCAUGGCCAUGAGGGUAAUUCAAUAUUACCCCAUGCUGCAAGAUGCAAAUGGGACUAAGCCAUGGGUAAGUUUCAUACCUUCCAUUUCAAAAGUAGUCAUGUCGUGACAAUAGUCACUUGCCCCACCUUUGGCAUGUCAUAAAUAUAUAGUUUUUUGUAAUUCAUGUCAGCAUCUUGUUGUUGGAUACGUUGCCAUCAUAUACAAAACCAUUUUGGAACUCACAUGAUAAAUAGCAAUUGUGUUGUUUAUGGUUAUUUCAAAUGUCUCAAUGUGUUGCCAUGUCUGUUUUACAUUACAGGAGCCUAUCCUGCGACAAAUGCUAAAAAGAUUGCAGAAUGUGAAAUCCACCCUGACGUUGAAACUAUCAACACCCAUGCACAGUCAAGCUUCUGUUGUCAAGAAAAGACGACUUCAGUUCCAGCAAACCGACAAAGAGGCUGAGUCUGCUACUGGUUCAAUUGAAACAACUCAGAUGACUGAUCCCCCAGAGAGCACUUGUACAGACCUGGACAAUAAUAACACAGUGCACGAUCCUCAGUCAAGAAAAAUGCAGGCCAGACAUUAUAAGGCUCUUCAGGAGCUCUUCAAGAAAACAAAACCAAACAAAGAGGACAUCGCUCAUCUAUUGGACCUGGAAUUUGAGUCUAGGAGGUCUUUCAUAGAGUGUUGUUCAGACAAAGCGGAGCGGGCCAAGGCAGUCUUGGAGGCUUAUCCUUGCUUUUCAGAGUGUCAACAUAUUAUGGAUGAAUUGGGGCGAAUCAUUGAGGCUGACAACAAGAGGUACUCAGACCAACUGAAAGCUCGAUGGGGAAAGUUUUACCAAAAUGCACUGUUCUUUGGAGCGUGGAAGAAGGCAUUGAAACCACCUAUGGGUCUGGAUGAAUGUAAGCACAAAACAAAUUCAAAUAUGUACAGUACAUCUCAUCUUUGAGGUUGGGCAUGAUCUUUCUAGGUGUAUGAGUUGUAGUUUUCUUUCAAUUGUUUUGACUGAACAGGACCUUUUUAGAGCAUGCCCUUUUCCCUGAAUCUCAGCAAACUAGUGGUUGUCACUGGAGGGUUCUAACACCACUACAUUUGUCAUUUGUACAAGUGACCCAUUACAUUGACUUGCAGCUUACUUAGUGCUCUUAUGUAUUCAUAGUUUCAGGGACAUCAUAAAUAUUGCAGAUUAACUCUUACCACUUUGUUUGCAGCUGCACAGGCCAUUGCCUUUAUGGAGGCACUCCCACAAAUGUUCCCUUCCCCAACCGCCCCCCCGAGAAAACUAAAGUCAGCAAGUGAGGCUCUCUACCAUGUCCUUGAGGUGGGUUUUAGUGUCAGUAC
ensembl:lncRNA